rnacentral:lncRNA from 1 species
GUUGAAUGUUAUGAAAUAUAAUAACAAUAACUAUUGUAGCUUCCUGACUAUCACUUCUUUUAUGUAGGUUGAACUAAACCUGAAACCUGGUUUAAGUUUACACUUUCACUUUAAUACAAUAGUUAGAAUGAAAACUUUAAGUGGCAAAAAGCAGAAAACCAUAAUUAUAUGCAGAAUAUGACGGACGGGCGGACAAAAUAAAUGAUUUUAAUAUAUGUGCCUGUCGUCGUUGUUUAUUUGACAGAGGAAACAUAAUUUGCCAAGGACAAAGACAGUUGAAAAUGUGUACCUAUAUACACUCAAAUAUACACUCAAAUAAAACAAACCUAGUAUUUCUUAUAUAUUUGUAAAACCUUAAGUGUAACAACUACUUGUAUGAUAAAAACAUUUCUUUUUUAGCUUUUCUUUUUGUUAUUGCAAUUUCCUCAAGCGAACCAUUUAUUCAGUGUCGUGAUGAAUGAAUAGAAAAAAACAACGUCUUGAGCUUUGUUAAAGCAACCCCAGUACUUAUAUCUGAUAUCGUUAAGAAAAGUUUUUCAGAGCGUGCACUGUGUGUGAUCUUUCCACUAGGACUAUGUUUAUCUGCUGUUCGUACUCGAUUUUUCGAAUCGAUAACAACUCUGGUCAAUAUACAAACUUGUUUUCAUUCUUUCCUUUAAAAAUGUGGACUUUUUUUUUGGGACACACUAGGACCGAAGUGAAACAGACUUACAUAUACAAUUAAGCUAACACUUUCACUCUUGGUUAAUCUCAUGUUUAUAGUAAAUUUUAUUUAUCGAAGGUUUGAGAAUUAUCACCAUUUAUUAAAAAUUCAACAACGUAUUUUGUGAAUUCGCA